rnacentral:rRNA from 1 species
UGGGGAAUAUUGCACAAUGGGCGCAAGCCUGAUGCAGCAACGCAGCGUGAAUGAUGAAGGCCUUCGGGUAGUAAAGUUCUGUCCAAAGGGAAGAAUAAAGUGAAGGUACCUUUGGAGGAAGCCCCGGCUAACUACGUGCCAGCAGCCGCGGUAAUACGUAGGGGGCAAGCGUUAUCCGGAAUCACUGGGCGAAAAGGGAGAGUAGGCGGUUUGACAAGCCAGGGGUGAAAGGCAAUAGCUUAACUAUUGUAAGCCUUUGAAACUGUCGAACUUGAAUGCGGGAUAGGAAAUUGGAAUUCCUAGUGUAUCGUUGAAAUACGAAUAUAUUAGGGGAAACACCAGUGGCGAAGGCGACUUUCUGGACUGUAACUGACGCUGAGGCUCGAAAGCGUGGGGAGCUAACA